UCAGAUGAUUGAUAAUGAUAGAUAGUUUGUGAUAAAGCGCAAAGCCAAGGUACAAGUUUCCAGUUUUUCUAGGUUUUACUUGAAUAGGAAAUGAGUACUUUGCACAAAUUUCAGUUCAUCUAGUUCUCCGCGAUAAUGUGUUUGUUUGUGAACCACUUAGUACUAGCCAAAAAGUGAGGAAACCUCAAAUAUUUGUACUAUAUGCAAGGAGACCGGCAUUCAUUGUUUUA
rnacentral:lncRNA from 1 species